UCGUACAACCGAGGUGCGAGGGCUGUCGCUGACUCCUAAAGGUCGUGCACGCCCGAGCGCUCUCACAUGUCCAUCUCACCCAUGUGCACCACCGCGUGGACCCCCCUUUGGCUCGUUCUGAAGGGUGGUUCACGUUUUCAUACAAACGCCCCUUUGAUGCAGUGUAGAAUGUCUUUUUAUUUUUGCGAUCGCACGCAAUUUAAUA
rnacentral:misc_RNA from 1 species